rnacentral:rRNA from 1 species
GACGAACGCUGGCGGCGUGCUUAACACAUGCAAGUCGAACGCUGAAGCUCAGCUUUUGUUGGGUGGAUGAGUGGCGAACGGGUGAGUAACACGUGAGUAACCUGCCCCCUUCUUUGGGAUAACGCCCGGAAACGGGUGCUAAUACUGGAUAUUCACUGGUCUUCGCAUGGGGGUUGGUGGAAAGGGUUUUUCUGGUGGGGGAUGGGCUCGCGGCCUAUCAGCUUGUUGGUGGGGUGAUGGCCUACCGAGGCUUUGACGGGUAGCCGGCCUGAGAGGGUGACCGGUCACAUUGGGACUGAGAUACGGCCCAGACUCCUACGGGAGGCAGCAGUGGGGAAUAUUGCACAAUGGGCGCAAGCCUGAUGCAGCGACGCCGCGUGAGGGAUGGAGGCCUUCGGGUUGUGAACCUCUUUCGCUCAUGGUCAAGCCGCAACAAUGGUUGUGGUGAGGGUAGUGGGUAAAGAAGCGCCGGCUAACUACGUG